rnacentral:rRNA from 1 species
UAGGGAAUCUUCGGAAAUGGACGAAAGUCUGACCGAGCAACGCCGCGUGAGUGAAGAAGGUUUUCGGAUCGUAAAACUCUGUUGUUAGAGAAGAACAAGGACGUUAGUAACUGAACGUCCCCUGACGGUAUCUAACCAGAAAGCCACGGCUAACUACGUGCCAGCAGCCGCGGUAAUACGUAGGUGGCAAGCGUUGUCCGGAUUUAUUGGGCGUAAAGCGAGCGCAGGCGGUUUCUUAAGUCUGAUGUGAAAGCCCCCGGCUCAACCGGGGAGGGUCAUUGGAAACUGGGAGACUUGAGUGCAGAAGAGGAGAGUGGAAUUCAAUGUGUAGCGGUGAAAUGCGUAGAUAUAUGGAGGAACACCAGUGGCGAAGGCGGCUCUCUGGUCUGUAACUGACGCUGAGGCUCGAAAGCGUGGGGAGCAAACAGG